GACGAACGCUGGCGGCGUGCUUAACACAUGCAAGUCGAACGGAGUGGCGAACGGGUGAGUAACACGUGGGUGACCUGCCCUGCACUUCGGGAUAAGCCUGGGAAACUGGGUCUAAUACCGGAACGUGUGGGAUGGGCCCGCGGCCUAUCAGUUUGGUGGGGGGGUAAUGGCCUACCAAGGCGGCGCCGGGUAGCCGGCCUGGUAGGGUGGACGGCAUUCUUGGGACUGAGACACAGCCCAGACUCCGACGGGCGGCAGUAGUGGGGAAUAUUGCACAAUGGGCGUAAGCCUGAUGCAGCGACGCCGGGUGGGGGAUGACGGACUUCGGGUUGUAAACUCCUUUCACCAUCGACGCGGUAGCUGGAGAAGAAGCACCGGCUAACUACGUGCCAGCAGCCGCGGUAAUUC
rnacentral:rRNA from 1 species